UGAAUCAUCGAAUCUUUGAACGCACCUUGCGCUCCUUGGUAUUCCGAGGAGCAUGCCUGUUUGAGUGUCAUU
rnacentral:rRNA from 2 species